rnacentral:rRNA from 1 species
GACGAACGCUGGCGGCGUGCCUAAUACAUGCAAGUUGAGCGCUGAAGGCUGGUACUUGUACCAACUGGAUGAGCAGCGCACGGGUGAGUAACGCGUGGGGAAUCUGCCUUUGAGCGGGGGACAACAUUUGGAAACGAAUGCUAAUACCGCAUAAAAACUUUAAACACAAGUUUUAAGUUUGAAAGAUGCAAUUGCAUCACUCAAAGAUGAUCCCGCGUUGUAUUAGCUAGUUGGUGAGGUAAAGGCUCACCAAGGCGAUGAUACAUAGCCGACCUGAGAGGGUGAUCGGCCACAUUGGGACUGAGACACGGCCCAAACUCCUACGGGAGGCAGCAGUAGGGAAUCUUCGGCAAUGGACGAAAGUAUGACCGAGCAACGCCGCGUGAGUGAAGAAGGUUUUCGGAUCGUAAAACUCUGUUGGUAGAGAAGAACGUUGGUGAGAGUGGAAAGCUCAUCAAGUGACGGUAACUACCCAGAAAGGGACGGCUAACUACGU